rnacentral:tRNA from 1 species
GCGGAGGGCGAAACCGCACGGCGCGGUCGUGGAUUGACACUCCGUCGGUCGCCUGAUGAAGGUGAUGAGGUUCGACUCCUCCGCCCUCCGCC